rnacentral:lncRNA from 1 species
CCCCAAUCCUCCCGAAGAAACCAAUGUGAACCACAAUUCUGCACCUACGGGACCACGAGUUUCUGUGAUGGCUGAGGAAAGAACCGCUGAGAAGGACCCUGAUGUGGGAAGGUUCACAUUACUUGGUGUCAAAAGGGGUAUUUGAAGGAGUUGAAUCCCUAAAG